ensembl:lncRNA
UUUAGAGUAAAAACAAAUAGCCGGUUUGAGGAGGAGAAAAACCCUCACUGUCAUCUUUUCAUCUCUCCUCUUCUGUCCAGCUCCGUAGCUCCAUCUUCUCCGUCAGUUUGUGUCACUUUGGUUCCGCCACACGCCAAACGUCUUCAAGUCCCCGGCGAGCUCCUCAAUUAUUUCUUUUUCCCCCCUCCCCUACUCUCCGGGCGGCCUUGUCAUCUCACAUCAGCGUCAGCUGAUACUGACGUCGCCUGCUGCAAACUCGAGGUUGCCGUGGCAACGUCCCGGUUUGUUCAAAGGCUGCGGAGCAGGCGGCGUAGACGUGACCUUUACGGUAUCAAGGGUGACUUUACCUUUUCAUCUGUUGAUUUAAGGCGUAAACGUAAAACCGCCUCAACACUCAAAGCUCAAGAAUAGAAGUUUAGGAUUUGGUCUUUAAAAAGGGAACUCGUGCAUGUGUCAAAAAGGUGGAAUAGGUUCCAUGCACGGUGUUCUCCUCUACUGGAACCCCUCGGGUUCUGAAACGGACCAUAAGGCCGAGGAGCGCUUUAGGGCGGGGCUACCUUGGGAUUGACUGGUCGCUACCUGAGCAGUAUCUCUACGUCACUCCUCUGCAGUCCAGAUGUGGUCACUUCCGGGUCGCUUCUUGACCUUACUGCCAUCACGAAGACAAAGUUCUCCUCAUCAUCACAAAGUGGUCGUUUUAACCGCGACAAGGAUCGUUCUGUUAACUGUUAAAUCCUUUCAAACAAACCUUGCUGCCGAUGUGAAACUGCUAUGUUUUCCAGCAGCGGCUCGUGACAGUUGGCGUGUGCACUUGUAGGCUUACACAGUGUUGACCUUUUGAUAUUGGCGUCAUAUCAGAAAAGGCUGAUCUCCCAGGAGGCCACGCCGAGGUCCGCUCUCUGUGUGCAGGAGCUCUUAAGCCGAUGUCAUACUGGGACAUUUUCCUAUUAAUAAAUGUCAUUCUGGCUGCUCUCUACCUCCGGUUAAUGAAUCAGAACGACGUUUUGACCUACUGUUCUUCUUCCAUUUGAAUUGGAGUAAAUAUGUGCUUGUCCACUAAUAGAAAAGCCUUUUCUGUGUUCUGUUCACCUGUAAACUCCAGAGGAGGCUUUGUUUUACACGGACACGGAAAGUAGAGUCGCUGCUGGACCUUCACUGCGAAACUCAACGUAAAAAACAAAGAACAAAAAUGUCACACGGGGAUCUCAGGUAACUCUUUUACAGAAAUUAGCAGAACCUUUCUGAACUGGUAACAAAUAACAAAUGUUGGAUUUUUUUAUUUGACUUAUGUUUGUCUCUUUUGUUUGACUUAUAUGUGAAACAUUAGAUUUCCGGAUAUAUUGUCAUCAUGGCUAUUAAAAUGUAUUUGUGAUGCUUUUUUAUUAUUAGAUUAAAAAGUAUUUCUAGGGAAUAAUCACUGAUGCUCCUUUGUGUGUGGCUGUGUGACACAAUCUCAUAGACAUACAUGAAAUGACACAACAGCUGUUGGGGAGCCUUUGUGACACAGACAGCGGUUUUCUGGGUGAAAGUGAGUCUGUUUGCUGUCACCCUGCAGCCCGGAAAACUGUGUUCAUCUUACCCAUCAUGCACCAUAUUACGCAUCGUAGUUACAAGGCAGCCGAUUACUUUUUGUAAUAUGUGGGCAAGCCAUUACUAUGCAUAGUGUCCAGUGAUGAACUCGCUGUGUGGCGGCUUAAAGGAACUACAGAGACCAUUGUUUGGCCUGUGACUCUUUCUGCUUUCUGUAAAUAGUCCACAAUCAAAAGGUUCGACCCCCCCGGUUCACAUGCUGUGUAAUCCUCUGCAGCUGAGCAGCUAAUUAGCUGUUUUACAAGCAAACCGAUUAUAGGCUUUAAUUUGUGAGCUGGAAAGGAAGGAAACUUUCGCCGGGAAGCUAACGUCGGUUUGGGGGUUUUGUGUAGCGGGCUGAUUUUUAUUCAUUCGUACUGAUAAAAAUCAAACUGAAUUCGCUUUUAUGGAAACAAAUGAGUGACAUACAAACUUGGUAUUCUACAAAUGAAUGCCGAGCCUGAAGUCAUCAACAUGAAAAUAUAUAAAGACACUUUUUGGCAACUCUUGGGCUCUUGAGUAAAGUGAUUUUACAGAGCAUUUAGUCAUUUAAUUAGAAAUAAGACGGAGAGCUAAUUAGAGUUCAUGGAGAAGGUUAAGAAGAUAACCAAAGCCACAUAAUCAACAAACAAAACAACAUUUAUGAAUCAAAUAUAGAAAUUGCUGAAUGUUUUUGUGGAAAUGAUGCGUUUUACAAACACUGAUUUGUGGACGUGUGGAUUUGAGGUGAAGCCUUCAGCGUUUCUGGAUUUGUUUACAAUGUUUACUGAGGGAAUAAAUCAAGAGAGAAGUAGAGUCAUUUUCUCAUAGACUUCAACACAAUCAGACUUUUGUUGAUCAGAUUCAGAAUAUAAAUAAAUAAAGACGGCCGAGACAAUUAAACUGGAAUGGCAAAUGAAAAUGCAAAAAAAACAAGCGGAGCCGUUUGCCGGUGCAGCAGAUGGAGAGAAGCGGCAGAGGAGGCGGUGACACGGAAAAGGCGGAGGCGGAGACUCCGUCAGGUGCUCGCUGUAAAAGGUCAGUGCUCGGGGCGGCGGGCGAAGGGCUUGUCGACACGAUGCCAGUGCAAUGAAAUAAAAGCAAACGAAGGCCGGCGGGUUAAAGUUUCUCUGAUUUACCACAGGGGACUUUUAUAUGUUAUGAUAUAUAUAUAUAUAUACGUUAUAUAUAUAUAUAUCGGUUCUUAAUCACUUACUUACAGGAUUCAUUUGCUGAAAGAAAACUCCCUUUGCAUCUGCUGAAUGAACAAAAAGCCAGCUGACGUAGUUUGUGCGUCAUAACUUGUGCUAUUGUGGUGUGAUGGGUAGAAACACACGGAUGAAGGAUUCGAUCCUUUUUCAGAUCAACUAUCAGAACGAGACUGAAACACACUAAAACAAAGGUUCCCGUUAGGAAAACAAAAAUGUCUCACAUUCCUUCAGAUGAGAAUACAAUGUUCUACAAAACAUUUUAAGAGGACAUAAAUCGAGUGAGAAAUGUCAUUUUCCCAUAGACUUCUAUACAAUCAGACUUAUCUAUACUUUUCUAUACAAUCAUGUUUCUAUUUUUGUGGUCGCUCUCUGCUGGUCAUUACAGGGUGAUCCAGGGGUAUACGACACUUUGGCUUUGACUUCACGAACACUAAAUUAAGAUAAGGCCCGACCCCUGGGCGUCUGCGUCUUGUGACCCCGACAUCACAAGAUGCAGACGCCCUGACGCGACCUCUGAAGCCUUUUCUUAAACCAAGACAACGUGGUUAUAAAUGGUCUGUCAAAGCGGGAUACUGUGUAACGUCCACAUGCAGCCGCACACAUCGCCUGUGACACAAAGAGGUGUGCAGGGAAAGACUUCGUUCCCUCUGGCUUUGAUUCUUUUGUUUCUGAAAAUCAAGGUUCACACAGGUCUUCAGUUCAGAAAACCUAUUGAGAAGCACGUUUCUGUUGCGCUGUAUUACAAUGUCGCGUGUGGAAUAACACGAGAACAUGCCCGUGCGUGUCAACUUGUCAACGAGAGAGAUUUAAAACCGGUCCCUGAAGCCCCGCCCAUAUUCCCUCAUCCACAUUCCGAUUGGCCAGUCUGCUCCCCAUCCCCUCUGCCCCGCCCCCCCCCCGUCUCUCUACAUGCAGCUCAGCAGUGAAUGAAUCCAGUCAGACACAAGCAGUGAGACCGAACAGCUCCCUCUCUCCCCCCUCUCUCUCUCUCUCUCUCUCUCCCCCUCUCCUCCUCCCGUCUCAGCAGCGGUCGCUGGAGCAUCGGCACGGCGGCGGGAGGACGAGCGCACCUCGCCGGGACACGCAGGAGGAGGAAAGCGGCGCACAGUCAAACUGUGGUGCAGCUCAAAGCAACGCAGGAGCAACAGAUUGACCCCCCACCCUCCCUUUACAUCAGUGGCAAUUGUUGCUGCAACUGAUUGCUCUUUUCUGGGGAGAACGAGAAGAAGAAGCCGCAGCGGCUCGCGGGCAACUGGCGGGAGACGUCAGGAGACGCAGAGCUGUGUGAGCGAGCGGGGAGCGACUCGUCCCGGAGCGGGCGUCCCGGCCUCGUCCUGCCGGCCUCCCCGCCCUCCUUUCACCGAGGGGGAAGAGCCGGCGG